GUGGUUGUGGCUUAGUGGUAGAGUGCUUGCCUAGUUAUGCAAGGCACUGGGCUCAAUACUCAGCACCACA
rnacentral:tRNA from 1 species